GAUUUGGGGUGCUUAAUGAGAUGUUUUCUUGCAGAACUGCUGCUCUUUGGAUGGGUGAAUGCUGGUCCUGGGGAGCUAUUUUGGUGUGUCUCUAAGGAGGGAUGUGAAGCAAGAAGAACAGGAAGAAUAGGGAGCCUUCAGUGGUGGGUCAUGAGACUUGCCCUACUACACCUGCAGCAGAUGAGAGGAAACACUGGCAUGGAGGAGCAUUUAAGGGAACAUUGUUCACUGAACCAGCCCUGCACACCUGUCUGCAGUGUCUGAAGUGCCUCUGCCACCAGGACUGAGGCUGUUGUAGAGCCUGUGUGCCAACUCCAUUGCAGGCACACAAAUAUCUCACUAAAAUUAUCUGUGACUCUUCUUGCCCUGAAAUGUGUUCUACUUUAGAUGGUGUGGAUGUUGAUAACAUAUUGGCAUCUAUUGCUUCAGUCAUGAUGGCUCAAAGGAAAGCUGUUGCCUGCUUGGUUUUAUUGAGGCUGAAUCCAAAACACAAGUGGAAAACAUGGAACCUUCACUCUAUUCGUGGGCCAUUGUUGCUUACUGUAAAUAUUUUACUUGAAGCUGGGA